rnacentral:rRNA from 1 species
AACGAACGCUGGCGGCAGGCCUAACACAUGCAAGUCGAGCGAGACCUUCGGGGUUAGCGGCGGACGGGUGCGUAACGCGUGGGAACGUGCCCUUCUCUGCGGAAUAGCCUCGGGAAACUGAGAGUAAUACCGCAUACGCCCUUUGGGGGAAAGAUUUAUCGGAGAAGGAUCGGCCCGCGUUGGAUUAGGUAGUUGGUGGGGUAAUGGCCCACCAAGCCGACGAUCCAUAGCUGGUUUGAGAGGAUGAUCAGCCACCCUGGGACUGAGACACGGCCCAGACUCCUACGGGAGGCAGCAGUGGGGAAUCUUAGACAAUGGGGGCAACCCUGAUCUAGCCAUGCCGCGUGAGUGAUGAAGGCCUUAGGGUUGUAAAGCUCUUUUAGCUGGGAAGAUAAUGACGGUACCGGCAGAAGAAGCCCCGGCUAACUCCGUG